ensembl:snRNA U6 U6 spliceosomal RNA
GUGCUUGCUUUGACAGCACAUAUACUAAAAUUGAAAUGAUACAGAAAAGAUUAGCAUGGCCCCUGUGCAAGGAUGACACACAAAUUUGUGAAGCAUUCCAUAUUUUU